CCUACGGGGUGCAGCAGUGAGGAAUAUUGGUCAAUGGACGAGAGUCUGAACCAGCCAAGUAGCGUGAAGGAUGACUGCCCUAUGGGUUGUAAACUUCUUUUAUAAAGGAAUAAAACGCGGCACGUGUGCCUUUUUGCAUGUACUUUAUGAAUAAGGAUCGGCUAACUCCGUGCCAGCAGCCGCGGUAAUACGGAGGAUCCGAGCGUUAUCCGGAUUUAUUGGGUUUAAAGGGAGCGUAGAUGGGUUGUUAAGUCAGUUGUGAAAGUUUGCGGCUCAACCGUAAAAUUGCAAUUGAUACUGGCAGUCGUGAGUACAGUUGAGGUAAGCGGAAUUCGUGGUGUAGCGGUGAAAUGCUUAGAUAUCACGAAGAACCCCGAUUGCGAAGGCAGCUUACUAAACUGUGACUGACAUUGAUGCUCGAAAGUGUGGGUAUCAAACAGGAUUAGAUACCCGUGUAGUC
rnacentral:rRNA from 1 species